rnacentral:rRNA from 1 species
GACGAACGCUGGCGGCGUGCCUAAUACAUGCAAGUUGAGCGAUGAAGAUUGGUGCUUGCACCAAUUUGAAGAGCAGCGAACGGGUGAGUAACGCGUGGGGAAUCUGCCUUUGAGCGGGGGACAACAUUUGGAAACGAAUGCUAAUACCGCAUAACAACUUUAAACAUAAGUUUUAAGUUUGAAAGAUGCAAUUGCAUCACUCAAAGAUGAUCCCGCGUUGUAUUAGCUAGUUGGUGAGGUAAAGGCUCACCAAGGCGAUGAUACAUAGCCGACCUGAGAGGGUGAUCGGCCACAGUGGGACUGAGACACGGCCCAAACUCCUACGGGAGGCAGCAGUAGGGAAUCUUCGGCAAUGGACGAAAGUCUGACCGAGCAACGCCGCGUGAGUGAAGAAGGUUUUCGGAUCGUAAAACUCUGUUGGUAGAGAAGAACGUUGGUGAGAGUGGAAAGCUCAUCAAGUGACGGUAACUUCCCAGAAAGGGACGGCUAACUACGUG